rnacentral:rRNA from 1 species
GAUGAACGCUGGCGGUAUGCUUAACACAUGCAAGUCGAACGGUCACUUCGGUGAUAGUGGCGGACGGGUGAGUAACGCGUGAGAAUCUGUCUUCAGGUCGGGGACAACAGUUAGAAAUGACUGCUAAUACCGGAUGUGCCUUUGGGUGAAAGAUUUAUUGCCUGAAAAGGAGCUCGCGUCAGAUUAGCUAGUAGGUGGUGUAAGAGACUACCUAGGCUCCGAUCUGUAGCUGGUCUGAGAGGACGAUCAGCCACACUGGAACUGAGACACGGUCCAGACUCCUACGGGAAGCAGCAGUGGGGAAUUUUCCGCAAUGGGCGAAAGCCUGACGGAGCAAUACCGCGUGAGGGACGAAGGCUUUUGGGUCGUAAACCUCUUUUCUCAAGGAAGAUGAUGACGGUACUUGAGGAAUAAGCAUCGGCUAACUCUGUG